GAUGAACGCUGGCGGCGUGCCUAAUACAUGCAAGUCGAACGAGGUGCUUUUGUAGCAAUACGAGGGUAUCCUAGUGGCGAACGGGUGAGUAACGCGUUGGUGACCUGCCCCGAAGUGUGGGAUAACAGUCCGAAAGGAUUGCUAAUACCGCAUGUGGCCAUCGGGUUUAGAAACCGAUGUCUAAAGCAGCAAUGCGCUUUGGGAGGGACCUGCGUCCCAUCAGCUAGUUGGUGAGGUAACGGCUCACCAAGGCGACGACGGGUAGGGGGCCUGAGAGGGUGGCCCCCCACAAUGGAACUGAAACACGGUCCAUACACCUACGGGUGGCAGCAGUAGGGAAUAUUGCACAAUGGGCGAAAGCCUGAUGCAGCAACGCCGCGUGAGCGAAGAAGGCCUUCGGGUCGUAAAGCUCUUUUCUGGGAGAUGAGAAAGGACAGUAUCCCAGGAAUAAGUCUCGGCUAACUACGUGCCAGCCGCCGCGGUAAGAC
rnacentral:rRNA from 1 species